rnacentral:rRNA from 1 species
UACGGGGGGGGUAAGCGUUGUUCGGAAUUACUGGGCGUAAAGGGCUCAUAGGCGGCCAACUAAGUCAGACGUGAAAUCCCUCAGCUUAACUGGGGAACUGCGUCUGAUACUGGAUGGCUUGGAUUCGGGAGAGGAAUGCGGAAUUCCAGGUGUAGCGGUGAAAUGCGUAGAUAUCUGGAGGAACACCGGUGGCGAAGGCGGCAUUCUGGACCGAUAUUGACGCUGAGGAGCGAAAGCCAGGGGAGCAAACGGG